AUUGAACGCUGGCGGCAUGCUUUACACAUGCAAGUCGAACGGCAGCACGGGGGCAACCCUGGUGGCGAGUGGCGAACGGGUGAGUAAUGCAUCGGAACGUAUCCUUAAGUGGGGGAUAACGCAUCGAAAGAUGCGCUAAUACCGCAUAAUCUCUGAGGAGAAAAGCAGGGGAUCGCAAGACCUUGCGCUUUUGGAGCGGCCGAUGUCUGAUUAGCUAGUUGGUGAGGUAAAGGCUUACCAAGGCUUCGAUCAGUAGCUGGUCUGAGAGGACGACCAGCCACACUGGGACUGAGACACGGCCCAGACUCCUACGGGAGGCAGCAGUGGGGAAUUUUGGACAAUGGGGAAACCCUGAUCCAGCCAUGCCGCGUGAG
rnacentral:rRNA from 1 species